UUCAAGGAAAUCCAGAUUCACCUUCACAGC
rnacentral:piRNA from 1 species